GACUUAUAUUUAUCUUUGAUCUUUUUCAUGAUGAUGUCAUUCGGCUAAUCAAUGAAAAUCAUACCUUCUGCGGAUACUUGAAACUCCUUGAUUGUUGUUUAUUAUUUUGUUAAGAACUCUUCUUUGUCUUGUGUCUCACGAGGUUUCACACGUAGUCGACUCAUAUUCACCAACUUGGUAAUUUGGUCAUCUUAAUAUUUGAUGCAUAUCGAUAG
rnacentral:lncRNA from 1 species